AGAGUGAACGCUGGCGGCAGGCCUAACACAUGCAAGUCGAACGGCAGCACAGGGGAGCUUGCUCCCUGGGUGGCGAGUGGCGGACGGGUGAGGAAAACGUCGGAAUCUGCCUAUUUGUGGGGGAUAACGUAGGGAAACUUACGCUAAUACCGCAUACGACCUACGGGAGAAAGCGGGGGACCUUCGGGCCUCGCGCCAUUAGAUGAGCCUAGGUCGGAUUAGCUAGUUGGUGAGGUAAUGGCUCACCAAGGCGACGAUCCGUAACUGGUCUGAGAGGAUGAUCAGUCACACUGGAACUGAGACACGGUCCAGACUCCUACGGGAGCAGCAGUGGGGAAUAUUGGACAAUGGGCGAAAGCCUGAUCCAGCAUGCCGCGUGUGUAGAAGAAGGUCUUCGGAUUGUAAAGCUACUUAAGGUGGUAAGGAAGGGUUGUAACUUAAUACGUUGACAAUUUAGACGUUACCGACAGUAAUAAGCACGCUAACUCGUGCAGCA
rnacentral:rRNA from 1 species